AUAUUAUUAAGCGGAGGAGAAGAAACUAACAAGGAUUCCCCUAGUAACGGCGAGUGAAGCGGCAACAGCUCAAAUUUGAAAUCUGACGUCUCGACGUCCGAGUUGUAAUUUGCAGAGGGAGCCUCGGGUUGAGGGUCGGUCCAAGUCUCUUGGAACAGAAUACCGCAGAGGGUGAGAGUCCCGUCUCCGGCCGACGCCGACGCCGUGUGAGGCCCCUUCGACGAGUCGAGUUGUUUGGGAAUGCAGCUCUAAAUGGGUGGUAAAUUCCAUCUAAGGCUAAAUACCGGCCAGAGACCGAUAGCGCACAAGUA
rnacentral:rRNA from 1 species